GACGAACGCUGGCGGCGUGCUUAACACAUGCAAGUCGAACGGAAAGGCCCUGCUUGCAGGGUACUCGAGUGGCGAACGGGUGAGUAACACGUGGGUGAUCUGCCCUGCACUUCGGGAUAAGCCUGGGAAACUGGGUCUAAUACCGGAUAGGAGCCAUUUUUAGUGUGAUGGUUGGAAAGUUUUUUCGGUGUAGGAUGAGCUCGCGGCCCAUCAGCUUGUUGGUGGGGUAAUGGCCUACCAAGGCGGCGACGGGUAGCCGGCCUGAGAGGGUGGACGGCCACAUUGGGACUGAGAUACGGCCCAGACUCCUACGGGAGGCAGCAGUGGGGAAUAUUGCACAAUGGGCGCAAGCCUGAUGCAGCGACGCCGCGUGGGGGAUGACGGCCUUCGGGUUGUAAACUCCUUUCGCUAGGGACGAAGCUUUUUAUGACGGUACCUAGAUAAGAAGCACCGGCUAACUACGUG
rnacentral:rRNA from 1 species